rnacentral:rRNA from 1 species
GCAAGUCGAGCGAUAACAGGACUUUAGCUUGCUAAAGUUGCUGAUAGCGGCGGACGGGUGAGUAAUGCAUAAACAAUCUGCCCUUUAGUUGGGGAUAACCACUGGAAACAGUGGCUAAUACCGAAUAAUCUUAUUUAAGCGCAUGUUUUUAUAAGGAAAGGCUUCGGUCGCUAAUGGAGGAGUUUAUGUCUGAUUAGCUAGUUGGUAAGGUAACUGCUUACCAAGGCUACGAUCAGUAGCUGGUCUGAGAAGAUGGUC